rnacentral:rRNA from 1 species
UGCCAGCAGCCGCGGUAAUACGUAGGUGGCAAGCGUUAUCCGGAAUUAUUGGGCGUAAAGCGCGCGCAGGCGGUUUCUUAAGUCUGAUGUGAAAUCCCUCGGCUUAACCGGGGAACUGCGUCUGAUACUGGUUGGCUUGAGUUUGGGAGAGGGACGCGGAAUUCCAGGUGUAGCGGUGAAAUGCGUAGAUAUCUGGAGGAACACCGGUGGCGAAGGCGGCGUCCUGGACCAAUACUGACACUGAGGAGCGAAAGCCAGGGGAGCAAACGGGAUUAGAUA